rnacentral:misc_RNA from 1 species
GAUGAAGAACGCAGCGAAAUGCGAUAAGUAAUGCGAAUUGCAGAAUUCGGUGAGUCAUCGAAUCUUUGAACGCACAUUGCGCCCUGUGGUAUUCCGCAGGGCAUGCCUGUUCGAGCGUCAUUUCAACCCUCAAGCUCUGCUUGGUGUUGGGCCCUGCCCGCUGCGGCCGGCCCUAAAGACAGUGGCGGUGCCGCCUGGCCCUGAGCGUAGUACAUCUCUCGCUCCAGUGCCCGGUGGUAGCCUGCCAGAACCCCAACUCUCGUGGUUGACCUCGGAUCAGGUAGGGAUACCCGCUGAACUUAAGCAUAUCAAUAAGCGGAGGA